AACGAACGCUGGCGGCGUGCCUAACACAUGCAAGUCGUGCGAGAAAGUUCCUUCGGGAGCGAGUAAAGCGGCGCACGGGUGAGUAACACGUAGGUAACCUGCCCCCCAGUCUGGAACAACUAGAGGAAACUCUAGCUAAUGCCGGAUGAGACCACGAUCCCUUCGGGGGUUGCGGCCAAAGAUGGCCUCUACUUGUAAGCUAUCGCUGAGGGAUGGGCCUGCGGGCCAUUAGCUUGUUGGUGAGGUAACGGCUCACCAAGGCUGUGAUGGCUAGCUGGUCUGAGAGGAUGACCAGCCACACUGGGACUGAGACACGGCCCAGACUCCUACGGGAGGCAGGCAGUGGGGAAUAUUGCGCAAUGGGCGAAAGCCUGACGCAGCGACGCCGCGUGGGUGAUGAAGG
rnacentral:rRNA from 1 species